AUCCUACCAUAAUAUUUACUACAAGAGUUUUAAUUUAUCAAGCCUUACAAAAAAAAACAACUACAACUACCCAAUUAAUUUGUGAUCACCUACCAAACAGAGAAUAUGAGUAAGUCAGAAACUCAACAACAAAAACAACAGCAGCAGCAGCAGCAACAAAACAUGGACAACAUUCCUCCUGCUGGUUACCCGACUCUAAAUACUCCCGAAGGAAAGAUGAAGAAGAAGGGCUGGUUCGGUACCAAGAAGAGGGGCGAGAAAGGUUUCAUUGAAGGAUGUUUGGCGGGGUUAUGUUGCUGUUGGAUCUGUGAAGAGUGCUGCUGCUAAAAGAUUCAUGGAUUCAUGAUGAUUUUUCUACCAUCUUCUUAAUAUAUUUUGUGGAGUGAAUUUUUCAAUUUAUGUGUAUUUAAUUUAUCAUUUUAUGAACAUACAGGUCAUGCUAUUUAUAUAUUUUUAAAUAUAUAUAUAUUGUCAUGUGAAUAAUAAAAAUAAUAUCCAGUGUUAGUUGUGUUA